UGGCGCCACUGCACUCCAGUCCGGGUGAUAGGGUGAGACUCCAUCUCAACAAAAAAAGCAAAAAAAAAAAAAGAAAGAAAAUGCUGUUUGUAUUUUGUGGUCUACCAAGGAGCUCGGGAUAGCCUGUUAUGUUUCCCUCAUGCCAGCCCCUGAGCUGCAUUGGGAGAAGAUGCUGAUUGUCCUUGUCCAGAAUACCUCUUUUGCAGAGUGACAGGCUGCUGUGACAGAUGCCCUCCUUUUGCAUCUUUGUGGAUGUUUCGUUCCGAUGAGGACAUGGGAACCCACGUCACUGACGUCGCUCUUCGUCUUGUUAGUCUCUUGAGGAGUGUUUCUUUUGUACUCUCUUGCUGAUGACCUACCUCUUCAUACGCCAAGCUGAAACAAGCUGAAACAAGCUGAUGAACUGCCUAGGACUUCCAUGUGUUGCUCACAUACGUGAUUUCUGUCAUGCUCGUGUUCAGACACUGAUGUUACCAUGUAUGUCACACCUCCUUAUGGUUGCAUGUCCUGACUGUUAAACUGAUUACAGACUAUUAAAUAUGAAUGGAGUUAUGGAUAUGUUCUGGCGAAAUUCUUAUCCAUCUGGAUGGGGCAGGGCCCUUGACUCCCCUGAAUCAGAUGAGCAGCCGUCAUUACUUCCUCUAGCCGCACUACAGAAUUGGCACAGACUGGAUUAAUGCUUCCAAAGACAGAAGGAAGGACCUUGGCACCUGAACUGACCAGCCCUGUGGUCCUGAUCCCACAGGAGUCACUCAUCAGGACUUACCAGACUGUUGCUCUUGGAUUUCAUCUGCCGGGCUGAUGAUUUGGCUUGGCCAAGAGUCUUGCCAAGACUUUAAUCUAGGCCUCUUGUUCAAGAUGGAUUCCCAGGUGAUGUUGCUGGCUAUGGUAUGAUCCUUUCACACCAAGGAUUUCACUUUUUAAAACGCGUUUCUUUAAAAGAAGCCUUGAUAAUGAGAGUGGGGGUAGGAGGCAGCAGAUUUGGAAGACUGUGGCCCGUCGUGUCCUGGAGCAGGGCGAAGGGAGGAGAAAGACAGUUCCCACAUCAUCGCGGCUGUGUGCCCUUUACCCCUUUUCAGGAUCCUUAGAUUUGUCUCCCUCUACCCCGACGAUUUUGCAAUCAUGUGCCUUAUCAGUUGUGAGUUUACAGGCAAAGCAAUUUCCCAAAUAAAUAUCCCAAAUGGCUAUAAGUGUUC